rnacentral:antisense_RNA from 1 species
CUUCUCAAAAGCGUUGGAACUAUAAAUGCAUAAAAUCUCGGCCAU